CUGCCGCGGCUUCCUCCUCCUCCUCCUCCUCCACCCUCGGAGCCGGGUCGCGGAGUCGGGCCGGGGCUGGGGAGGAGGAAGUUGCGGCGCAGCUGGGACAGCAGCAGGUGGGAAGCGCCGCGGCCGGGACUUCCGCGGCCGCCUAAUUGCUGCCUGGCGGGCGGCGAAGCUGCCUGCCCUUCCCGGAGCCUCACGCGUCGCCGUUUCUGCCCUCCUCGGUGGCGACUGGUGCGGGGCAGGCUCCGCGCAAGGGGCCUGCGAGAUGCCAGGGCCCGAGCGAGGGUCGCGCUUCAGCCCGGGCGCGCCUCUCCCCCUCCUCUCCCGCCCCCUCCAUCCUGACACCGCUCCGCAGCCCCAGCCCCGGCCCCGGCCCCAGCCCGGCGAAACCCCACCUGCGGCUCGCCCAGGAGCCGCUCCCUCCACGGGGAACGCAGCGUUCCCGGGAUCCUCACGGGGCGUGGGCGAUCCGGGGUGGCAGCCGCGAGGCCUCUAGGCGAUGGCGGGGCGGAGGUGGGUGACUUACGGGGCUCUCCCGCGGGCGAGCGGCUCGUCCCCUCUCGCCCUGUCCGCCCGCCGCCGUCUCCCUCGCCACCGCCGCCCGGGCACGCUCUGUGGAUCUGAAAUCGGAGCGCUCCGAGAGCCCUGAACUCCCUGCAGCAGCAAAACUCCUACAGACUCCGCGCUCUGCCCUCGCCCCCAGCAGCCAGGCAGGAGCGUGUCGCCCCCAGCCCCGCCAAAAACAGAAGCAAAACUAGACAAAAACCCACGCUGCUGAGCUGAGUUAGCCGGGCGUGGACCCUGGAACUUUAUGAAUUAAUCCUUGCACGUGUGUAAAUCAAGGCGCGUGCUUUGGGGUCACAACGAAGCUUUGCUCCGUAAGGACGGGAUAUGUUGGGAGUUUUUUUUUUUUUUUUCCACGCAAUUUGCAUUCCCGGUAAUUUUUUUUUUUUUAAUGUCUGUUUCCUCAAGCGAUCUAAUAAGGCCUUCGGGCAGCUGAUAAAGUUCUCCUUGAGUGAUCCAGCUACUUGGACAAAGCAGCUUGUACUCCGGGCGGCACAGCCCGGCGGGUGUUUGCGUGUGGGAGACGCGAGAGUGACAAGGCGAGCAGCCGUUCUGCGCGGGUACCCACCUCCUAGGCUCGUAUCCUCACGUGGCCCCUAGGAGGUGCUGGUGAAAUGUGCUGAGGUUUUGCAAAGAUGAACUUACCCGUGCGUUAGCAAGCUUGCCUCUUCUCCUAGCCGUGAGCAAGAUGCUGAAAUCGAGAGGCUCCUGGAGCAGGUCGUGCACGCGCUGUGGCUGCUCUGAGAGCCCAGUGGGUCGCUAUUCCAGCCCAUUUGUCGGGAUUUUCAGCACGCCCAGCCCCGUUGCUAGCGGAGAUGGCUAAGGAUCUUCCAACCGUUGUGCCCGGAGGAAGGAGCGCUCCCCUAACCCCUUUCCAGGCAGAGUGGACAGUGAGAGAGAGAGACAGAGAGAAAGGUCUUCCUUUUGCCGUUGGUUCCGGAGCGCUGCGACCGGCGCACCAUGUUGAUCGAUGGCAGGAGCCAGGUACUUCUCCUGGUCUCCCAUGGGGUGCAGGGCCCAAGCACUUGGGCCAUCCUCCACUGCACCCCCGGGCCACAGCAGAGAGCUGGACUGGAAGAGCGACCAGGACAGAAUCUGGCGCCCCAACCGGGACUAGAACCCAGUGUGCCGGCACCUCAAGGUGGAGGAUUAGCUUAGUGAGCCGCGGCGCUGGCCCUUGUUCUUUACUCUUAUAAAGUGAGGGAUCCACAGACCCUGAGAAGAAAGAGAAGAAAUGUAACGGAGCAGCUGGAACAUUAGUGUGACUGCCGGUUCUUCCUCCACUGCGUCUGGCUGCAGCCCUGACAACUUAUCUUUUCUUCUGUUUUAUUUUCUUUCUUAAUAUGAUUUCUCUAAUCUCAAUUUUAAUUUAAAAGGAAAUAGAGAUGUAGAAAUUAUGUUCCAGGAAACCUCCUUACCUAAGUGGAAGCUAAAGAUACGGAUUCUCAGUCUGCUGAUUCCAAAUCCAAUGUCCCUGCAGGGUAUUCCAGUAGCUUUUCAUAGCAGCUCUGUGCAGGUGCAUCUAGAAACCCAGGGCAGGAGCUGUAUUUUUCAGAACCAUUUACUAAUUCCUCCUAAAUUACUUUUUCUUCUGAUUUUAAAAUGUAUAAACCCUGACUUCAGAUCCUUGCAAGGGACACAGUUUUAAAUGUUUGGCUCCAUUCCCAUACUUCCCUGUGGGAAAAUUUCUUCCAUUUUUUAAAAAUAAAUGUGAUCAAUAUCUGCGGAUUUGAUUGGACUUUUCCUCUGUCUUUGAAUAGUUUCCAUUUUGUAAGCACACAUCCUCAACUGAUGAUUAAUUCUAGUCUUCUGAUAUAUGUUUGUUCUAAUAUUUAAAGACCUUGUGGAUAAUUCACAAAUAAAUAAAGCUUUUAGUACAACUAUGAGAAAAUAAAAUGCAGAAUCACAGAAUCCGACUACCACCAAUAACAUUAGUGAUUAAUGGUAACACAACAUUAACAGCAUUAUAUGGUUAUUAAAAGAAGAUACAAAUUAUUUAUGUCACCGCUUAUUUUGUAGGUGCUUAGUUAGAUACUUUUAUGUACUU